rnacentral:rRNA from 1 species
UACGAGAGGCCCAAACGUUAUUCGGAAUUACUGGGCUUAAAGAGUUCGUAGGCGGCAUUGCAAGUAGGGUGUGAAAGCCCUCGGCUCAACCGAGGAAUUGCGCUCUAAACUGCAGUGCUUGAGGAACCUAGAGGUGAGCAGAACAGAUGGUGGAGCGGUGAAAUGCGUUGAUAUCAUCUGGAAUACCGGAGGCGAAGGCGGCUCACUGGGAGUGUUCUGACGCUGAGGAACGAAAGCCAGGGUAGCGAACGGG